GGUGAACGCUGGCGGCGUGCCCAAUACAUGCAAGUCGAGCGAACGGACGAGAAGCUUGCUUCUCUGAUGUUAGCGGCGGACGGGUGAGUAACACGUGGAUAACCUACCUAUAAGACUGGGAUAACUUCGGGAAACCGUAGCUAAUACCGGAUAAUAUUUUGAACCGCAUGGUUCAAAAGUGAAAGACGGUCUUGCUGUCACUUAUAGAUGGAUCCGCGCUGCAUUAGCUAGUUGGUAAGGUAACGGCUUACCAAGGCAACGAUGCAUAGCCGACCUGAGAGGGUGAUCGGCCACACUGGAACUGAGACACGGUCCAGACUCCUACGGGAGGCAGCAGUAGGGAAUCUUCCGCAAUGGGCGAAAGCCUGACGGAGCAACGCCGCGUGAGUGAUGAAGGUCUUCGGAUCGUAAAACUCUGUUAUUAGGGAAGAACAUAUGUGUAAGUAACUGUGCACAUCUUGACGGUACCUAAUCAGAAAGCCACGGCUAACUACGUG
rnacentral:rRNA from 1 species